rnacentral:lncRNA from 1 species
GUCCUGCCACUCUUGGUGUGAAGAACGCUACAGUCCAUUAUUCUGGGCAGGGGAAGUGAGAGGGCGGUGUGGUGGAGUUCCGUUGGCCAUCAGUGUGAAACCACUAGAGAAUCUCUCCCUGAAGGUGCCUGUAUUUCUCCCUGAGAGUACAGGACUCCAGGCAACUGUUGCACAGGUCUUCAUUGAUCCUGUGCCAGUACUGAGCCAAGAAAAGUAUGAAUAUCUGGUUACUGCUUCAGCACAAUGGACUGAUUAAAAGCUGCCAUUUUCUAACAGAAAAAUAAAAUUUGGCUUGAAGACUGCCUACA